UACGUAGGGUGCAAGCGUUGUCCGGAAUUAUUGGGCGUAAAGAGCUCGUAGGCGGUUUGUCGCGUCUGCUGUGAAAACCCGAGGCUCAACCUCGGGCCUGCAGUGGGUACGGGCAGACUAGAGUACGGUAGGGGAGAUUGGAAUUCCUGGUGUAGCGGUGGAAUGCGCAGAUAUCAGGAGGAACACCAAUGGCGAAGGCAGAUCUCUGGGCCGUAACUGACGCUGAGACGCGAAAGCGUGGGGAGCAAACAGG
rnacentral:rRNA from 1 species